UUCCGGUUAAAGAUGCUGCUACAGCUGCAGACCCUGAACACUCAAGAGGAAAGUCAGUUGUUCAGCAGUUCUUCAAGUACCGUGAAGGAAAAGAGGCAGAAAGAAGGAUGUUCUCAAAAUGCAAAAAGAAAUCAAAGAAAAUAGUGAAGAUUUCUGUUGGGAUCAUGAACAAAACCAAGACUGGCAUGAGGCCCAU